rnacentral:lncRNA from 1 species
UUUCCAACCUUCGCUAGACCAUUUCUUUUUGGCCGUGAUAGGUUUAGAAGCUAAUCCUUCCCAACCUUCGGUAGACCAUUUUCUUUUAGUCGUGAUAGGUUUAUAAUCUAAUCCUUCCCAACCUUCGGUAGACCAUUUUCUUUUAGUCGUGAUAGGUUUAGAAGCUAAUCCUUCCCAACCUUCGGUAGACCAUUUCUUCUUGGCCGUAAUAGGUUCAGAAGCUAAUCCUUCCCAACCUUCGGUAGACCAUUUCCUUUUAGUCGUGAUAGUUUCUGAAGGUAUAGCCUCCUGACUUUCUUUCUGGCCUUCUGUACUUUGAUCCUCCUUAUUCUUGAUAUCUCUACAAGGAAUUGUGAUGCUAUUUCCAUUUUCUUCAAUGUUACUUGUCUGAGAAUCCACUUGAAAGGGAGCAGCAGCAUGGCGGAAUAAUUGAUAUCUUAAUGCUGGUAGUUCGACGAGGCCAUCCAUAUAAGCAGAGAUGUAUUCGCUUGUACGCUGGAUACACUUGUAUAUCUGCUUUACUUCUCCUUUCCCAACAGCCCUUGCGACAUUUUGAGAUUGAUCCGUGAAAUCCUCAACCUGUGAAGAUCAAUAUCAGACAUUAAU